UUUGAGAGGGAGAGACAGCACGAGCAGGGGAGGGGCAGAGAGAGAGGGAGGGAGAGAGAGAAGCCCAAGCAGGCUCCUCCCUGUCAUCGUAGAGCUGGAUACGGGGCGAGGACCCACAGACCGUGAGAUCGUGACCCGAGCCGAGGCUGGACGCCCAACCGACUGAGUCACCCAGGCAUCCCUAUAACACGGCGGUAUUAAUUUUAGUCACCAGGCUGUGCCUUAGAUCCCGGGACUUACUCAUUUCAGCCCUGCAAGUGUGUACAAUGUGGCGAUUCAACGUUUCCUUACGUGGCCCGGGUGCUGAUCACAGGCGAGUAUAACAGGUGUGGAUCCACACGUAAGUGGGCGCAUUGAGUCUGUCUUUCUCUCUGUUGCACUUAGUUCGCCUAACACAUGGCCCUCGACGUCCGUCCGUGUGGUCAUGAAACGGCCACCUCCUGACUAGGACUCCCUGUGGUGUGUAUGCCCCGUGAUCUGCCCAUCCCGGUCUGGACCCUGGGGUGCGCGCGCGUCUUGGCCGUUGCGACUAUGCCGCCGUGAACGUGGGGAGGGGGCAGAGUCUCCGAAAUCUGGAUUCCAGUGCCCUCAGGUAAAUAGCCAGACGUGACACUGUGGGGUCGUACGGCAUUUCUAUGUUUUAGUUUUUGGGGAAACUCCACAGUGUUUUCCACAGUGGCUGUGCCAGUUUGCCCCUUGGGUCUUUGCUCGUUGAUCCUUGUGUCUUUGAUUCCAGCUACGCUACCGGGCGGGAAGUGAUUUCGUGGUUUUGAUUUGCGUUUCCCCGAGGAGAUGCAUGUUGAGCUGGGCCGUCUGGAUGUCCCCUCAGAACAGGUCUCCUCAGGGCCUCUGCCCAUUAUUUAGUCAGUCGCAGGCAUUCACAUACAGUUCCUCUCGGUAUGUUUUCCUGUAUUUUAAAAUAAAAUAAAAUGAAAACAAAAAAGCCAGCCUUUUAGAUAAAGUCCUGGUCUCCAAAGUGUGUUAUACGAGAUGAUCCAGUGAGGGAUGCAAAGAAAAUACGAGAAUGUCUAUUUAUACUUUCAUUUUGAUCAGGGGGAAAAACCCCACUUCGAGCAUGUAAUAGAAUUUCACUGGCACCCUGGCCUGAUCUGUCUGUUACCCAGUGACAGCAAACAGCCCCGGGAGGAGCCCUCCCACCCACUGGCUGGACUCCAGAUUCUUGCUGUCUGGGGGGCACGGAUAUCACUGACCGAACCAGCACAGAAAGGUGGCGUUGCCGAGAAAGAUCCCCUCCCAGGACUCAUGUCUUGAAGACGGCACACCUAAGCGAAGAAGAAGAAAAACCAAAGCUGGCUUGUCCCACGCCUGGCGUGAGCUCUCCGUCUGCACACUAUGAUGCAAAGCAGACCACCAGCUGAAUCGGACAAGGAGCUCAUCACAGAUUCAGACUUGUUUAGAUCUCCAGGAUGAGAUCUCUCUGACUAGCCCCCAAAUGUAUUUCUAACAGACCCGGAUGUUUGUUGUGACGUUGCCUUAAAAUAGACGAGGAAUGUAAACAGUCUAAGCUUCCCUACCUUCCCCUGGCCUGAAUCCUUGAAUUCAAAAAUCCAAACUUGCACAAUAUUCAAGAAGGCGGAAGUAUGGCUGUGCCCCUACUCCCGUCAUAUGUCUCUUCUAAACCCAUUCUGAGCCUUGAGGGAUUAGCUAAUGUUGUACGAAGCCAUCACAAACUGUAAGAUCUUAACAUAUUCUUUGUUUCCUGGGUAUGGAUAUCUUAUGUUUUCUAGGUUGUAAUUUUUGGUGUAUGCUUUAAAAUGUGCAAUUCCCAAAUUGACAAAUAUAUUGUGAGAUUGUCUGCUUAAAAUCUUUUAACGUACGUUUUGCAAUCUUGCCAUAAAAUUGAUGAACCACCAA